rnacentral:rRNA from 1 species
GUCCUAUUGUAUUAUUUAAUAGGUCUGGCCUGCCCAGUGAUAAUUUCAACGGCCGCGGUAUAUUGACCGUGCAAAGGUAGCAUAAUCAUUAGUCUUUUAAUAGGAGGCUGGAAUGAAAGGUUUAACGAGAAAUUGACUGUCUCAAUUGCAAUCUUGAAUUUAUCUUUUGAGUCAAAAGACUUAAAUUUAAUUGGUGGACGAGAAGACCCUAUAGAGCUUUACAAUUAUUUUUUUUAUAUUUAUUUAGACUGAAAUUAUUUAUUUAUAUUAAAAAAAUUGUUUUGUUGGGGUGACAAUAAAUAUAUAUUUAACUUUUAUCAUAACAUUAACAUUAAUUUAUGAUUUUUGGAUCCAAAAAUUUUGAUCAUUAGACUAAGUUACC